AGUGAACGCUGGCGGCGUGCUUAACACAUGCAAGUCGAACGAGAACGGAUUAUAGCUUGCUAUAAUUGUCAGCUAAGUGGCGCACGGGUGAGUAAUGUAUAGGUAAUAUGCCUCUUACUAAGGGAUAACAAAUGGAAACGUUUGCUAAUACCUUAUACUCCUUAUUAGCAUAAGUUAAUAAGGGAAAGAUUUAUUGGUAAGAGAUUAGCCUGUAUUGUAUCAGUUAGUUGGUGGGGUAAUGGCUUACCAAGACUAUGACACAUAACUGGUUUGAGAGGAUGAUCAGUCACACUGGAACUGAGACACGGUCCAGACUCCUACGGGAGGCAGCAGUGGGGAAUAUUGCACAAUGGACGGAAGUCUGAUGCAGCAACGCCGCGUGGAGGAUGACACAUUUCGGUGCGUAAACUCCUUUUAUAUGAGAAGAUAAUGACGGUAUUAUAUGAAUAAGCACCGGCUAACUCCGUGCCAGCAGCCGCCGUAA
rnacentral:rRNA from 1 species